AUUGAUGGAUUUCUAUGAAAUUUUCAGGGAAGGUCUGAAAUGACCCAAGGAACCCAAGAAACGAUGAAUUGUUGGGAGUGAUCCGUAUCACUGUCUUGAUCCAGGAGGUGGUUCUUUCGCUUGGCAGAGGUGCCCUGCCACACAAAAGCAUGUUUGGUGCAUGUCAUGAAUGUGAAAAUUAACUGCUACGGUACCUCCUGUGUGCUCUGCAGAGGGGGACUCUGUUACUCAACCUAAAGAUGAGACGGGUCUGGAGGGCAGCAUGGUGACACUCAACUGUCGGUAUGAGACUAAUAUCCCAGCAGGUGGCCUGACUCUCUUCUGGUACCAGCAGAAACCAAAAGGAUUCCCAAAAUAUAUUCUACUGAAAACGUCUCUUAGACAAGACAAC